rnacentral:rRNA from 1 species
CGCGUAGGCGGGUGUUUAAGUCAGAGGUCAAAUCCCAGGGCUCAACCCUGGAACUGCCUUUGAUACUGGGCACCUAGAGUUCGGGAGAGGUGUGUGGAACUCCGAGUGUAGAGGUGAAAUUCGUAGAUAUUCGGAAGAACACCAGUGGCGAAGGCGACACACUGGCCCGAUACUGACGCUGAGGCGCGAAAGCGUGGGGAGCAAAC